CUUGCUGGGGUGGAUGAGUGGCGAACGGGUGAGUAACACGUGAGUAACCUUCCCUUGACUCUGGGAUAAGCCCGGGAAACUGGGUCUAAUACCGGAUAUGACCUCCUGUCGCAUGGUGGGGGGUGGAAAGAUUUAUCGGUCUUGGAUGGACUCGCGGCCUAUCAGCUUGUUGGUGAGGUAAUGGCUCACCAAGGCGACGACGGGUAGCCGGCCUGAGAGGGUGACCGGCCACACUGGGACUGAGACACGGCCCAGACUCCUACGGGAGGCAGCAGUGGGGAAUAUUGCACAAUGGGCGCAAGCCUGAUGCAGCGACGCCGCGUGAGGGAUGACGGCCUUCGGGUUGUAAACCUCUUUCAGUAGGGAAGAAGCCUUCGGGUGACGGUACCUGCAGAAGAAGCGCCGGCUAACUACGUGCCAGCAGCCGCGGUAAUACGUAGGGCGCGAGCGUUAUCCGGAAUUAUUGGGCGUAAAGAGCUCGUAGGCGGUUUGUCGCGUCUGCCGUGAAAGUCCGGGGCUUAACCCCGGAUCUGCGGUGGGUACGGGCAGACUAGAGUGCAGUAGGGGAGACCGGAAUUCCUGGUGUAGCGGUGAAAUGCGCAGAUAUCAGGAGGAACACCGAUGGCGAAGGCAGGUCUCUGGGCUGUUACUGACGCUGAGGAGCGAAAGCAUGGGGAGCGAACAGGAUUAGAUACCCUGGUAGUCCAUGCCGUAAACGUUGGGCACUAGGUGUGGGGGACAUUCCACGUUUUCCGCGCCGCAGCUAACGCAUUAAGUGCCCCGCCUGGGGAGUACGGCCGCAAGGCUAAAACUCAAAGGAAUUGACGGGGGCCCGCACAAGCGGCGGAGCAUGCGGAUUAAUUCGAUGCAACGCGAAGAACCUUACCAAGGCUUGACAUGUUCUCGAUCGCCACAGAGAUGUGGUUUCCCCUUUGGGGCGGGUUCACAGGUGGUGCAUGGUUGUCGUCAGCUCGUGUCGUGAGAUGUUGGGUUAAGUCCCGCAACGAGCGCAACCCUCGUUCCAUGUUGCCAGCGGGUUAUGCCGGGGACUCAUGGGAGACUGCCGGGGUCAACUCGGAGGAAGGUGGGGACGACGUCAAAUCAUCAUGCCCCUUAUGUCUUGGGCUUCACGCAUGCUACAAUGGCCGGUACAAUGGGUUGCGAUACUGUGAGGUGGAGCUAAUCCCAAAAAGCCGGUCUCAGUUCGGAUUGGGGUCUGCAACUCGACCCCAUGAAGUCGGAGUCGCUAGUAAUCGCAGAUCAGCAACGCUGCGGUGAAUACGUUCCCGGGCCUUGUACACACCGCCCGUCAAGUCACGAAAGUCGGUAACACCCGAAGCCGG
rnacentral:rRNA from 2 species